AUGAACGCUGGCGGCGUGCCUAAUACAUGCAAGUCGAGCGAACAGACGAGGAGCUUGCUCCUCUGACGUUAGCGGCGGACGGGUGAGUAACACGUGGAUAACCUACCUAUAAGACUGGGAUAACUUCGGGAAACCGGAGCUAAUACCGGAUAAUAUAUUGAACCGCAUGGUUCAAUAGUGAAAGACGGUUUUGCUGUCACUUAUAGAUGGAUCCGCGCCGCAUUAGCUAGUUGGUAAGGUAACGGCUUACCAAGGCAACGAUGCGUAGCCUCCCUGGGAGGGGAGUCGGCACACUGGGACAGGGGCACGGUCCCGACUCCUACGGGGGGGACGCGUGGGGAAUCUUCCGCAAUGGGGGGAAGCCUGACGGAGCAACGCCGCGUGAGUGAUGAAGGUCUUCGGAUCGUAAAACUCUGUUAUUAGGGAAGAACAAAUGUGUAAGUAACUAUGCACGUCUUGACGGUACCUAAUCAGAAAGCCACGGCUAACUACGUG
rnacentral:rRNA from 1 species